rnacentral:rRNA from 1 species
CAGCUAACGCGAUAAGUUUUACCGCCUGGGGACUACGAUCGCAAGAUUAAAAACUCAAGGGGAAUUUGACGGGGGCCCGCACAAGCAGCGGAAGCGUGUGGUUUAAUUCGAUCUACACGAAGAACCUUACCCGGGUUUGACAUGCAAGUGGUAGUGAUCUGAAAGGUGAACGACCCGCAAGGGAGCUUUGCACAGGUGUUUGUCUAUUGGCUUGUCGUCAGCUCGUGUCGUGAGAUGUUCGGUUAAGUCCGCUAACGAGCGCAACCCUCGCUGUAUGUUACAUGUGUCAUACAGGACCGCCGGUAUCAAGCCGGAGGAAGGUGGGGAUGACGUCAAGUCCGCAUGGCCUUUAUGUCCGGGGCUACACACACGCUACAAUGGGCAGUACAAUGGGUUGCUAAGCCGCGAGGUGGAGCCAAUCCCCCCAAAACUGUCCUCAGUUCAGAUUGCAGGCUGCAACUCGCCUGCAUGAAGCUGGAGUUGCUAGUAAACGCGCGUCAGCUAUAGUGCGUU